UGCCCCAUGGCUGAGUUGGUUACAGCGUCCGACUGUUAUUUCUUCCAUUGGUAGAGUUCAUACAUCGGAAGGUCGUGAGUUCGAGCCUCACUGGGGCAG